GUGUUCGUACUCAGUGGGCAGCCAUGGCUGGCGGGUGCUUUAUCGCAGAUGCUGCAGCCCUCACGUUUUCUGCAUCUUCCGUCAUCAGGGCACAGGCGCCGUGCAGGGAUAUUUCGAGUUCAGGUAGGGAUGGUGGAGCUCGGAGGCAGGACGCGAGAGGUCAGCCUGCGGUGGAGCAGGGACGUUUUCCCCGGGGGAGACACGUGCCACCGGGUGGACAUCGAGGCCAGGUGAGUGGCCCCACAGCGUGGAAGGGAUGAUCGAGCUCUUCUGGAAGAUGUCCUGGAAACCUUAGAUGCUGGGGCUAGAAGAGACUUGAUGGCACUUCAGAGGUUGUCGGGCUGUCUCGCCCGACAGAUGCAGAAAUGGAAACGAAGGAAUGAGACUCCAGCUGUGUUGUGGCUUCCGUUCUAAAAAGGAAUCUGCAGUUUCUGGUUCUUGGCCUAAGCUUGAUUCUAUGUGUUUGUCCUCUCAGACUCCUUCAGGUUUUGAAUAAGGUAGCCAGCUAGAGGAAAAUACACCUGCUAAUUAGAAUACUUCUGGAGGCAAGAAGAUGAGGCCAGCCUGGGCUGCAAAAGACCCAGUCUCAAAAAACCAAUAAAU